rnacentral:rRNA from 1 species
GCGCGAAAACUUUACAAUGCCGGCAACGGCGAUAAGGGGACCUCGAGUGCCAGGAUACAAUCCUGGCUGUCGUAAUGCCUAAAAAGCAUUAUAUAGCAAGGGCCGGGCAAGACCGGUGCCAGCCGCCGCGGUAACACCGGCGGCUCGAGUGGUAACCGCUAUUAUUGGGUCUAAAGGGUCUGUAGCCGGCCUGGUAAGUCUUUUGGGAAAUCCGGCAGCUCAACUGUCGGGCUAUCAGAGGAUACUGCUAGGCUCGAGACCGGGAGAGGUGAGAGGUACUUCAUGGGUAGGGGUGAAAUCUUGUAAUCCUUGAAGGACCACCAGUGGCGAAGGCGUCUCACCAGAACGGAUCUGACGGCAAGGGACGAAAGCUAGGGGCACGAACCGGAUUAGAUACCCGGGUAGUCCUAGCCGUAAACGAUACUCGCUAGGUGUCGGCCACGGUGCGACCGUGGUCGGUGCCGUAGGGAAGCCGUGAAGCGAGCCACCUGGGAAGUACGGCCGCAAGGCUGAAACUUAAAGGAAUUGGCGGGGGAGCGACUAACG